rnacentral:rRNA from 1 species
GACGAACGCUGGCGGCGUGCUUAACACAUGCAAGUCGAACGGUGAAGGGACUGGUUUUGCUGGUCCUGGAUGAGUGGCGACCGGGUGAGUAACACGUGAGUAACCUGCCCCCUUCUUCUGGAUAACCGCAUGAAAGUGUGGCUAAUACGGGAUAUUCUGGGUCUGUCGCAUGGUGGGCCUGGGAAAGAUUGCGCCUUUUUUUGGGUUUUUUGUUGGGGGUGGGCUCGCGGCCUUUCAGCUUGUUUGUGGGGUGAUGGCCUACCAAGGCGGGGACGGGUUGCCGGCCUGAGAGGGUGGACGGUCACACUGGGACUGAGACACGGCCCAGACUCCUACGGGAGGCAGCAGUGGGGAAUAUUGAACAAUGGGCGCAAGCCUGAUGCAGCGACGCCGCGUGAGGGAUGGAGGCCUUCGGGUUGUGAACCUCUUUCGCCAGUGAAGCAGGCAUGCCUCUUUUUGUGGGUGGGUUGACGGUAGCUGGAGAAGAAGCGCCGGCUAACUACGUG